GUGAAAUUUUCUGACCUUUACUGUGUUAGCUUUUCUCUUAUGAAAGCUUUAAUAAUAAAUAAAACUAAUAUUUAAUUUUUAGGCAGUCUAGUUUUUAAUUUGAUUUUCACUUUAACCUUGUAUAUGUUAAACAGUUUGCUUUUAUAGUUCAUUACAGAAUGAACAUAUUUUAUGGAUAGCUGUGAAAGCCAAUUAAUAGAAAAUCUUGAACUAGAUUUCCAAGGCUUGAUAAAGUAGCAUCCUAAUGCCUAUUUUCAUUUAAACUUCAGUAUGAUUGCCAUUCCAAAUCCUAGCAUACAGUACAGGUUUUUUUCUUCAUUCUUCUUUCUAUACCUAUUUCUGGCAACAGUUUAGGAAAAAUAUUUUCUGAGACUUGAAAAAUGCUUAAUACUUAGUCUGUGUUUAAGGGAGGACAGGUAUUCACAUGGACUCUAAAGAUAUAAUUUGAGUAAAGAAAUUAAUUUUUUUAACCUGUCUUCCUGGUACUAUGCUAAGAGCAUGCCAUUUAAUCUUCAAAAUGACCCGACAAGGAAGUUAUGAUUAUUAUUCCACACAUAUAGUACAUAACUGAGGUAAGUGUUUCAGAUUUGUUGCAGUCUUUUGGGUACUGAGAAACCUUUCCUUACUGCACUGGCCACAUAAGCUUCAGUCUUCCCAGCAGUCACCACAGUGGAGGACAUGAUUAUCCUAGUCUUUUGGAAGCAAUCAGGAAGCUUUCUUAGAAACCAGACAGAGCUCAGAACAAGAGCCCAGCAGACCACAACCAUUAAUUCAUUUGAUUCAUUAAUUUUAUUAAGCCCUCUAAGAGUGAGGCACUGUGGAAAUACUAUCCAAUGAUGACUCAAACAUGGCCUAGGUGUUUAUGUACUUAUCCACCUUCCUCUCUACCCAGAAAAGUUAUUUUCAUACAUAGUAAAUCUCUUCUACAUAAUCACAUAAGUAAUUCAUCUCAAUGUCUUAUUUUUUUAAACUUGAACUAUUCCAGUUUCAUUCUAUACCAGUUAACAUACCUUGGUUUCUUCUUCUAAAAUUAGGUAACCUCCUUACAACCUAGUCAUUAAAAAGAGGACUCUAAUCAUCAUUAUCUGCUUUUAAUAGAUCAGAUAUUAGGUCAUAGACAUCAUCCAGGAUGGAAGUUAGUCUACAUUUGAAUAUGUAUGAAUUUUGGUUUUACAAUAAAAACUUAAGUGACUUUUCUAUAGUACUAGUAUUAUUUUUUUCUUAAAAUUGGCCAUAUUGGAGAAGCAGUGCCAGAAGGAGAAAAAGUAUCUGUCAAAGCAGAGAUUGUGAUUUUCCUCUAACACAUACUAGAGGACUAGAUGGAAAUCAGAAUAGCAGAGAAAAGCUUAGGCGUUAUUAGAUUAUGCAGAGUUAGGGGUUUGUCAUAGGUAGGACUAGAAAGACUGAUAUCUCAAAUAGUUUUCUCAACAGAUGUGAUACAUGCCAGACAUAAUGCUUCAAAGUUGAAAGAUUUUCUAGGAAUAAUCUAUACUAGGAAAUUUAUAUUGGAAUAGAGAUUAUCUGACAGAUGUAUACUGCCAGAUGGAAGAAAUUAAAUUCUCAUCCUUGAUACUAGGCAAAGAAGCUUCUAAGAGUUGAUAAUCAACUUCAAGAGUGGUAUGGAGUUACAAAAAUAUAAAAGCCAUUAUGACUAUAUCCUAAGAAUCUUUAAUAAGGUAUUCACUAAUACAGAAAGUUGUUACUCCUGACCACCUUUCUCCAAUUCCCCAACCACCCACUGCCCCAGCCCUCAUGCUGGGUUAACCACAAAUCUGAUCUUUUUCUGUAACUUUGGUGGUUUGGGUUUUUUUUUUUUAAGAGUACACAUAUAAGUGAAGUCAUAUAGUAUUUGUUUUUCUCUGAUUUAUUUCACUUAGCAUAAUUCCCUCAAGGUCCAUUCAUAUUGUUGCAAAAAGCAGCAUUUUCUCAUUUUAUGUCUGAAUACUAUUCCGUGGUGUGUGUGCUUCUUUCUUCAUUCAUCUGUUGGUGGACAGUUAGCUGGUUGUUUCCAUGUCUUGGCCAUUUUAAAACAGGGCUGCUUGUGAGCAUGAAGGGGUGCGGAUAUUUUUUCAAGUUAAUGUUUUCAUUUUCUUUGUAUGUAUUCCCAGAAGUGGAUCUGUAUGCUGGAUCAUACAGUAGUUGUAUUUUUAGUUUUUUGAGGGUCCACUGUACUAUUUUCCAUAGUGACUUUACCUCUUUAUGAUCCCAUCAACAGUACACAAGUGUUCUCUUUAAUUCACAUUAUCA
ensembl:lncRNA